UCUACUUUUCUCUUACAGUUGAAGUAAUGGAGUUGCUGCAUAUCUGAAAACAUAUCAGUUAUCAGAACAGUGUCUGUAGCAGAAUUGGGACCAGAGUUCUUGAUCUUUACUCUUCAGACUGUUGCUCAUAUGCUCAACUGCUUUGUAUGCUAUACUUUGUUUGGGUGAUACUCCUGAUGGAGGAAGAUGGGGAUGGCACUGGAUUCCAUGACAGAAGGAAAGAAAGCAGGAAGUAACUCCCCAGUUUGCUUGAUUUUUACCUGAUGAUUUACAAGGUCGCAGAUGAAGACACUGAACAUGACCAGACCCACUACUGACCUCCGGGGAACACAGUUAAGGACCUCCUGUUCUGUCAUAUGUCGACCUUCACCUAUACCUUCAUUAUCCACUGGGGAGCUGUAUCAUCAUGUCUGCACAGUGGGUAUUUUUCUCAUCUUCCCACAGUUUUGCCACUUGUUCCCUCUUUUCCUGUCUGAUCAGCAGUAAAAUGAUGAGAUUCAAGUGCUGAACUGCUUAGGUCAAACUGCUAAACCCUCUGUUGAACUUCUACUUAUUAAAAAGUAGCUGGAUUUAAACAAAUGCCUCAGGACACCAUCACGGACCUUGCAUCUUAAAUCUUGUAAAUGGAAACAACCACUCCAGGUUCUGGUAGCAUGCAGGAGAAAUGCUGGCUCAUGCUGAUAGCUGCACUACUUGAACUAUAAAGUUUUGGGAUAGUAACUAUUAAAGACACCCAUGGGAAAUUGAUAAUCACAGCCUGAACCUUUGAUUAAUCAACUGAGGCAAGUGUCAGGUC